GGCUUGUCCAAAGGUAGUGAGUUAUCUCAAUUGAUUGUUCAGUCAGUUACAGAUUGAACUCCUUGUUCUACUCUUUACCUACUUCUCACUAUUGCACUUGACUAGUCUUUC
rnacentral:Y_RNA from 8 species